GUGUAAGGAUGUUAAUGGGUACGGAUAUAAAAAAAUUUUAUCCAAAUCCGAAUCCGAACGGAACGGAUUUAUCUGAUACUAAAUGAAUAAAGUUUCAGAUACAAAUAUAAAAAAGAAAACCCGACCGACUAAAUUCGGUAUGGAUUUUGUUUAUGCCGGACUCAAACCCGAACCCGACCCGAACCACCAAAUUGAUUUUAUAUUAUAUAUAUAAAUAUUUAAUGUUAUAUUUAAAUUUAUAUUUUAAAAUUUUAGAUUUAAUAUAAUAUAUUUUAGAAAUAUGAUAAAGAGAAAUAAUUUUUUCAGAUUCGAUUUUUUUUUUUUUUGGCAGCUUCGUUUUCCGUUUCGCAAUUUUAUAAUUGGUUUAGGUUUAGAUUUGGUUCUCAAUUUUAUAAUAGUUCGAAUUUCUAUUUUUAGUUGAGAUUUGGUUUCAGAUUUGCACAAAACUGUCAAAAACCAACCCACCUACGUGUCUAUCCUCGUGUGAGAUGAAUAUAUUUUUUCAGAUAUAUCUUUUACACAUGAAAAUUAUAAUCAAAUAUCUAAAAUAGAAUAACAUAUUUCACUUUUUAGUCAAUUUUUUUGGGCAUAUUUAGUCAGCCGAAAAUAAAAUACCGAAAGUAACACUUUUAAAAAGUGACGUCUUACCGGUUAUUUGGUUUGCGAAAGUGAAUAUAAAAAUCACUUUACAGAACUGGGCCGAUAGAAUGAGUUACGGCUAAAUCUAACUUUUUUUUAGGGCGUGUUUGGUUCACCGAAAGUAUAACACAAAAAGUGGUAUUUUUAGAAAGUGCCAUUUUAUCGGUUGUUUGGUUUACGAAAAUGAAUAUGAAAGUCACUUUACGAAAGUAGACUGUUAAAGUGAGUUAUAACUAAAUCUCACUUUUUUGACUUCGGCUCAAAAAAUUCGAAAGUCACCGAAAGUGAAGAGCUUAGCUAGCUAAGAGAUUAUAUUUGAUUUUAACUU
rnacentral:lncRNA from 1 species